AGCCAAUAGAUACCCGGGUAGUCCACGCCCUAAACGAUGUCUACUAGUUGUUGGUGGAGUAAAAUCCAUGAGUAAACGCAGCUAAACGCGUGAAGUAGACCGCCUGGGGAGUACGGUCGCAAGAUUAAAACUCAAAUGAAUUGACGGGGGCCCGCACAAGCGGUGGAUUAUGUGGAUUAAUUCGAUGCAACGCGAAAACCUUACCUGGCCUUGACAUGUAGCGAACUUUCCAGAGAUGGAUUGGUGCCCGAAAGGGAGCGCUAACACAGGUGCUGCAUGGCUGUCGUCAGCUCGUGUCGUGAGAUGUUGGGUUAAGUCCCGCAACGAGCGCAACCCUUGCCAUUAAUUGCCAUCAUUUAGUUGGGCACUUUAAUGGGACUGCCGGUGACAAACCGGAGGAAGUGGGGAUGACGUCAAGUCCUCAUGGCCCUUAUGGCCAGGGCUUCACAC
rnacentral:rRNA from 1 species